UCAGAAUCAGCCCUUGGCUCUAGUUCCUUUAAUGCAUUCUGCCGGCCAUCAUCAGAUGUCUUCACUUGAAUCUUCUGGAAAAUCUUUACAGAAAUGCAGGCUUACAUGGGUUGAAGUGAGCCCUUCAUAAGUAGAUUCCUAUCUCAAAAAUCUUAACCUUUGAGACUGUAUGUGAAUUCCAUUAGAGGGACCAAUAUUCAAGUAAACAUUAAUUGAAGAUAUUCUAUGUGCCCCAUGUUAUGAGGGGACAAUAUGGAGGGAUUUUCCCCCCUGACUUCAUGAAGAAAUCAAGCUACAGUGGAAUGGAAGGUAAGAUACUGUUGUUCAACCAGAGAUCACGAAGAUUUUCUCCUGUAUUUUCUUCUGG
rnacentral:lncRNA from 1 species